rnacentral:rRNA from 1 species
UUGCCUACGGGGGGCAGCAGUGGGGAAUUUUGGACAAUGGGCGAAAGCCUGAUCCAGCCAUGCCGCGUGAGUGAAGAAGGCCUUCGGGUUGUAAAGCUCUUUUGUCCGGGAGGAAAUCCUGGCCUCUAAUACAGGUCGGGGAUGACAGUACUGGAAGAAUAAGCACCGGCUAACUACGUGCCAGCAGCCGCGGCAAUACGUAGGGUGCAAGCGUUAAUCGGAAUUACUGGGCGUAAAGCGUGCGCAGGCGGUUUUGUAAGCCAGAUGUGAAAUCCCCGAGCUUAACUUGGGAACUGCGUUUGGAACUACAAGACUAGAGUGUGUCAGAGGGGGGUAGAAUUCCACGUGUAGCAGUGAAAUGCGUAGAGAUGUGGAGGAAUACCGAUGGCGAAGGCAGCCCCCUGGGAUAACACUGACGCUCAUGCACGAAAGCGUGGGGAGCAAACAGGAUUAGAUACCCGGGUAGUCG